UAGUUUCAUGAAUAUUAAUAGUGAUAUUACUAGGAUCUACAUUUCUCUAUUUUUGGAUGCACCCCAAGUUUUAUCCUAGGAGAGAAUACUACCUGUAAAUAGUAUGCAGCUGUUAUACAGGAUCUGGGCCAAUAUGGAACAUCUUUCAAGUUGUACUCUUUAAUAUAUUUUGCUUUUGCCUUUUGAUCAAGGAUAUGAAUAUUUGAUAGAACAUAGUUGUGCAAUCUCUUUGUAUAUUGCCAAAGAGACACCCCAAAAGAUACCGUGAACCUUAAUCCCAAGUGAUAACAGAAAAACCAGUCUAUCCCAGAGCAUUUGGGGGGAUUGGAAAGAGGCUUUUAAGUGCUCUUGCACUCCUUACUAGCCACAGCACCCCCAAUUUAACGAAGUUUCUCUCCAUGUAUAGAGGAGAAAAUGAAGAUUUCUAAAGAAGGGAAAGACAGCUAAAGAGAACCAAUGAUGUCAAAGAGCCUAGCUUUAAGUCUCUAAGCCUCUUUGUAGUAAAGAAACAAGUGACUAUGGGAUUUGGAAUUAUGAGAAAACAUAACUGAAAUGAUCUUUUUAGAGAAAGCACACAAUUGGGUCUUUAUGAUUGAACUAGGUUAUAUCAGAUAGCAAUGGAUUUUGGGUCCAAAUCUUCUUCAAUUAAGGUUGGGCAUGUCCACUUUUGUUUUUUUUUUGUAGGGUGUUUAUGACUGAACUAGGUUAUAUCAGAUAGCAAUGGAUUUUGGGUCCAAAUCUUCUUCAAUUAAGAGAAAUGUCUUUUAAUGGUUCUCCAGUGCAAAGAUUAAAAUCAGGGACUGGGUUUGAAGAUUCUUUGAAGAGGACAGAAAAAUAUGAUCAGUCAGGGCUUGAAAAUUGUAGAGACGGAUCUUUAGUUGAUGGUCUUAGGAGCAGCCUUGACAUUGACAGACUGAAGAA